AUUGAACGCUGGCGGCAUGCUUUACACAUGCAAGUCGAACGGUAACAGGGUGCUUGCACCGCUGACGAGUGGCGAACGGGUGAGUAAUGCGUCGGAACGUGCCGAGUAGUGGGGGUUAACGCAGCGAAAGUUGUGCUAAUACCGCAUACGUACUGAGGUAGAAAGUGGGGGACCUUCGGGCCUCGCGCUAUUCGAGCGGCCGACGUCUGAUUAGCUAGUAGGUGAGGUAAAGGCUCACCUAGGCGACGAUCAGUAGCGGGUCUGAGAGGAUGAUCCGCCACACUGGGACUGAGACACGGCCCAGACUCCUGCGGGAGGCAGCAGUGUGGAAUAUUGGACAAUGGGGGGAACCCUGAUCCAGCCAUGCCGCGUGUGUGAAGAAGGCCUUAUGGUUGUAAAGCACUUUAAGCGAGGAGGAGGCUACUUUAGUUAAUACCUGGAGAUAGUGGACGUUACUCGCAGAAUAAGCACCGGCUAACUCUGUGCCAGCCGCCGCGGUAAGAC
rnacentral:rRNA from 1 species